AACACUAAAUUAGCAUAGAGCUUCAUGUCUUUUGAUCGUUGGUCAAGAUCCUGAGGGCCAAAGUGUUUUUUUAUUCAUCGAUUGAAAGGAAAACAAAAAGGAUACUGAGGAUUUUCGUCCGAAAUACUGCAUUAGACUGAAACAGAAUUUGAAAUUCUGCGAUUCUUACAAAUUAACAGAAGCUGAAGAAGGGUUCAUUUUACAAAUGCGAGAACAUUCUGACCAUUUACACGGUUAAGUUUCAUUGUUAAGAUGCUUGAUUUCAAAGACCUGCUUGUUUUCUUCGCAUCCUGGUUUUCGCUUGCAUUGUCAUCCCAUCCGGGUCAAUGGUCCCACUGGAGUGCCUGCUCUCAGACAUGCGAUGGAGGAAUUCGUGCGAGAAACAGAACUUGUGACUCCUGUAACACAACGCAAGAAACCCAGAGCUGUAACCCAAUACCUUGUCGCGCAGAUUUUGAAACCCAGAUUAUCAUGGUCGUGGUUGUGACAGUCGCAGUUAUCUCCAUCGUGACAGCUGUCCUUUUAGUUAUCUUCUUUGUCAAAGGAACGCAAUCUAGCAAGCUCAGAGCGAAAGAAUAUUCUUUAGAUACGAGCAAAAGACUACAAACAUUGACUCUUGAGAAAACGAAUAACAUAACAACUGGAAUGAUCGUGGAUAGUCGAGUGUUCCACCUCCAGCGCGUGGCGGAUAGCAGAAGCUCGUUACAAUCGAGUAGAAUCACGCUGAAAGAUUUUGGAGAAACACAGCUUCGAGCCAACGCGCCUACCUAAAAAGUUCAUUCCGCACAAUAUAAGAAGAAAAAAUUUAUGUGCAACAUACAAGGUCAUGUACAGGCAAGGAGUCAAACCUAUGGGAUGUCAAAAAAUAUUCUGCUGCAUGCAGAAAACUCACCGAUACACAUCCGACUUCC
rnacentral:misc_RNA from 1 species